CAACUGUCACGUGGCAAAACUCAUGCCAUAUCAUCAAAAAUGUGGGCCCAUGGACCUUUUUCAAACAAAUUUUUUUUUACAGGGAUGUUUUUCAAACUUUUUUUUUUUACAGGGACGAAAAUCAUAUUUAAGCCAAUAAUUAAUGUAUCUAUUUUACAAUGUAGGCCAGAUACAUUAACUACUCAAUGAACCUAAAAAAAGAAUAUUUUCUAAUAUUUGAGACCGGAGGGAGUACAGAUGAAACUAUUUCAGAUCCUUCAAGUGAAAAUUCAAUGUUUAAUACUUUAUAAAUCAAAAGUUUAAUUUUGGAGUUUUACGUCGAAAAAUCAUUAAACACAUAAAUAAAUUCAUCAAUAUAAUGAAACAAAUUACUUC
rnacentral:lncRNA from 1 species